rnacentral:lncRNA from 1 species
AGCACUGGUCCCUGCAGGUGGAGCCGGGCUUGGAGGUGUCUGGCCAACUGGGUGGGGGUGAGGCCGACCUCCCAGCUGCAAACACAAGGACACUGAGAUGCAAGGAAAGGAGAACCCACACUGGAGAAACUCAUGUUGCAGGGGCCUCUUCUCCCUCAGUUCCCGGCUUGGUGAUGGUGGAGGGUGUUCACGGAACACACAGGCUGCCUGGAGGCCUUGGCCCUCCAGGCAAACACCACCAGAAGUCCCCAGAUGCGGAACAGGCAGCAAGGAGCCUCCCCGAGAUCUCCCAGAGGGAGCACAGCCCUGCCAAAGUAUUGGUUUCGGACUUCUGGCUUCCAGAGCUACGAGAAAAUAAAUAUUUGUUAUUUAAGCCACCAGGUUUGUGGCGAUUUGUUAUGACAGCCUCAGGAAACUCCUGCAACAAGGAGCCCUCACUGCUGGCGCGAUCUGUCCGCACGAUCCGUCCGUGGUGUAAACACCAGCUCCGGAUGCUGUCCCAGGUGCUUGUGACCCUCUCUCCAAACAUCAGGAUUCAAAAUGUGUUAUCCACAAGGAUGACUCAGUUGCCCUGUGAAAAUUACUCCAGUAGAGAAGGUUCGUAGCUUGCAAUUUUGAUGAGGAAUUUAGCCAAAAUAUCGAAUCUAGAAAAAAAAAGUCAAUGACAGGCUUGAUGAUACUUGUUUUGACAGAGACAGAGACGCUAGGUCUGCCCUUUGUUGGAGAACAGCUUCGUCAGAUGUGGAUUUUACAAGCAAAAUGGAAGCUGCUUGUAUUAGGGGGAAGUGAAGGUUUUG